GAUGAACGCUAGCGGCAGGCCUAAUACAUGCAAGUCGGACGGGAUCUAUCGGAGAGCUUGCUCGAAGAUAGUGAGAGUGGCGCACGGGUGCGUAACGCGUGAGCAACCUACCCAUAUCAGGGGGAUAGCCCGGAGAAAUCCGGAUUAAGACCGCAUAACACUGUGAUUUGGCAUCAUGUUACAGUUAAAUAUUUAUAGGAUAUGGAUGGGCUCGCGUGACAUUAGCUAGUUGGUGAGGUAACGGCUCACCAAGGCGACGAUGUCUAGGGGCUCUGAGAGGAGAAGCCCCCACACUGGUACUGAGACACGGACCAGACUCCUACGGGAGGCAGCAGUAAGGAAUAUUGGUCAAUGAGCGGAAGCCUGAACCAGCCAUGCCGCGUGCAGGACGACUGCCCCAUGGGUUGUAAACUGCUUUUGUCGAGGAAUAAACCUAUCUACGUGUAGAUAGCUGAACGUACUCGAAGAAUAAGGAUCGGCUAACUCCGUGCCAGCAGCCGCAGUAA
rnacentral:rRNA from 1 species